CUGAUGUUCACGCUCAUCCCAGAAGGCUGCGCUGAGGAAUUGCUCCUUUAUUCAAGGGCACUGAGAUCAGAAGUACAAGGCAGCCCAUAUUCUCCUCCUUGUUUCACAGAUAUUGAGUGGGCAGGAGAGUAAGCAAGGAGACAGGUUUUUUUUGCAUAUUUUCAGAAUGCAAAUAGAUGAGUGAGCUCAGCUCUCUAUUCAUUGCUUCCAACAUACAUGACACAGAUGAUGCUGUUCCCAUUGUCAGACUGAAACCGGGGGCUUGAUGACAAGAAACUCGCUGAGUUUCCAUCUGCACAAGGCUGGGAUGAUGGCUGGGUAGGGAAAGUCACCGCACUUACAUACGUCAGCUCCACCGACCACGUCCACAACUUACAGGCUGUGUUUGGGAUCUGCAAAGCCAGUUUUGCUCCCAGUUAUUCCUGCAAGAUCAGCUCUCAGAGCUCCUUGGUGUGGCCUCAUUUGCACCUACCCAGGGGACUGCCCCCUCUUCCCUCCAGCACAGGUAUGGCUCUGCUCCUUGGGUUGGAGCCAGCAAAACUACUGAAGCAGCAGCUGAUCGAACUGGUGCGUGGCUCAAGAAAAAGUGUUAAGAUUGAUUAUAUAUGUAUUUAUUAAGUUCCAGCGAGGCAAACAGCAUAUUAGCAUAACUGGGUCAAUUAUUUGGCAAUCAGCACAUGCGUGCCUGGGAGGGAAGCAUGUGCAGAAAUCUGCUGUUUUUGUGCAGCUGAACACAUCACCUGCUUGGAAGAGAAGAAAUAUGUUUAUUCGGGUGCUAAAGAAGAGAUAAAAAAGAACAAGUCAACCUUCCCGAGCUAGCUGAUUAUGCAUUUUCCACAUCAAAUUGUCAGCAUUUAUUCAAUUACUUCACUCAUUACAAGUUUGUUCUUCAACCACUAACCUAAAAACCCUCCCUGCUGCUGUCAGCUCCAUUAGAAGUGACACAUCCCUUCCUCGGCUUAAAAAGAAUUGGAAGGCACCUCCUCCCAGCUCCAGGCUAUGGGCUGGGAGCUGCUUCCCAUCCCCAUUUCCCAGUGCCACGCAGAAGGGCAGUGCUGGGCCCGUCCCUGGGAAGCCUCUGCUGCUCCCAGCCCCACACGGGGCUGUUUGAAUGCACUCCGAUGCUCCGAGGAGGGGAUGAGGGGAUUCGCAGGGCUCUGCCAAGGAUACAGAUGGGAAAGAUAAGGAAGGCUCUACCUUCCCCAAAAUCAAAUAAAUCUUCAGUGCUUCCUGAGCUGAUUCACUUGGCUAAGCUCUGAUUUGAUAUAUGAAACAGAAGACAAGGCAAGAGGCGAGGCACAGAAAACAACAUCUUUUCCCCGUGUCAAGGUGAAGCGCUUCCCAUCACCCAGCCCGUCUCCCCCGGAGUAAAUGGGCAUCCAUAACAUUUAAAUGAUCAAAGUUUUUCAGCGGAGGCGGCGAUGGGCUUUUUCUGACUUGUCAUGCUUGUUUUCCUCCAGCAGGCAGUGACCUGCCGCCGCUCAGCCUUGCAGUUUGGCACGCAGGAGCUUUUGGAGGAGCGUUCUCUCCCCAGCAGAACAGCAGCCUCAUGUUUCCCUGCACAACAACCUUUCUUAGCCUGAAAUGCUUUGCAUCCCAUUUCCUUGAUCUGGCUAAGCGCUCGCAUGCUGAAAAUCCCACCCUCCCUCCAGCUGUCCUUCUGGCAGGAAAGAGACAGCGUCUCCUCUCUGGAGAGUACAGUCACUGCUCCUUUGGUUAUCUAAUCAGGGAGGGCAAAACUCACCCAGGGCCUGCAAAAUGCAGAGAUUGCAUCUGAGGUCUCGUGCGCGAGGCGGGGAGCGGCCUCCCCUCCUGGAGCAGAUGCUCUCUGCCAUCUUCCCAGCCAGUUGCUCUAAGGAGAAGAUUUAGAGCACUCCAGGGACGGAGGCACCGGGCUGUUCCUUCUGCUGAUGGCUGUGUCUGCAUGUGCUGAGGAGCGGGCCCUGGUGUGCACACACCGACGUCGGUGCAGGAAGAACAAGAGAAUAACCCCCCCCACCUUCCUGCACUGCACAUCACAGCUCUCUGUUGCUCGGUUUCUUGGCCCCUGUGUGGGUUUUCUGGUGUUUCUCAGAACUACAAAAUACGAUGGCCCUCUUCUUUUUCCAGCAUGGCUAUCUUACCUUUGCACAAAGCACAAGGCAGCGGGAAGCACAAACCCUCCCAUUCCCAUCACUCUGGGAGAU
ensembl:lncRNA